AGCAGUAGCCGCGGGAAUACGUAGGUGGCGAGCGUUGUCCGGAAUUAUUGGGCGUAAAGGGCUCGCAGGCGGUUUCUUAAGUCUGAUGUGAAAGCCCCCGGCUCAACCGGGGAGGGUCAUUGGAAACUGGGAAACUUGAGUGCAGAAGAGGAGAGUGGAAUUCCACGUGUAGCGGUGGAAUGCGUAGAGAUGUGGAGGAACACCAGUGGCGAAGGCGACUCUCUGGUCUGUAACUGACGCUGAGGAGUGAAAGCGUGGGGAGCGAACAGGAUUAGAUACCCGUGUAGUCCCUGUCUCUUAUAC
rnacentral:rRNA from 1 species